rnacentral:rRNA from 1 species
CCUACGGGAGGCAGCAGUAGGGAAUUUUGCGCAAUGGGCGAAAGCCUGACGCAGCAACGCCGCGUGAUCGAGACGCCCUUCGGGGUGUAAAGAUCUGUCAGUGGGGACGAAACUUGACGGUACCCACAGAGGAAGCACCGGCUAACUCCGUGCCAGCAGCCGCGGUAAUACGGGGGGUGCAAGCGUUGUCCGGAAUCAUUGGGCGUAAAGGGUUCGUAUGCGGCCCGUAAAGUCUGGUGGUAAAGGCAUGGGCUUAACUUCUGUACGGCACUGGAGACUGGCGAGCUAGAAUGCGGGAGAGGUAAAGGGAAUGCGUGGUGUAGCGGUGAAAUGCUUAGAUAUCAGGAGGAACAUCGGUGGCGAAGGC